AACGCGAAGAACCUUAUCAGGACUUGACAUCCCGCGGAUCCGUGAUAACGAUCGGAGUGCCCUUCGGGGAACGCGGAGACAGGUGGUGCAUGGUUGUCGUCAGCUCGUGUCGUGAGAUGUUGGGUUAAGUCCCGCAACGAGCGCAACCCUUACGAUUAGUUGCUACGCAAGAGCACUCUAAUUGGACUGCCGUUGACAAAACGGAGGAAGGUGGGGAUGACGUCAAAUCAUCAUGCCCCUUACGUUCUGGGCCUCACACGUACUACAAUGGCGCAAACAGAGGGAAGCGAAGCCGCGAGGCGGAGCAAAUCCCAAAAAAUGCGUCCCAGUUCGGACUGUAAGCUGCAACUCGCCUACACGAAGUUGGAAUUGCUAGUAAUCGCGGAUCAGCAUGCCGCGGUGAAUACGUUCCCGGGUCUUGUACACACCG
rnacentral:rRNA from 1 species